UAGGGAAUCUUCCGCAAUGGGCGAAAGCCUGACGGAGCAACGCCGCGUGAGUGAUGAAGGUCUUCGGAUCGUAAAACUCUGUUAUUAGGGAAGAACAAAUGUGUAAGUAACUAUGCACGUCUUGACGGUACCUAAUCAGAAAGCCACGGCUAACUACGUGCCAGCAGCCGCGGUAAUACGUAGGUGGCAAGCGUUAUCCGGAAUUAUUGGGCGUAAAGCGCGCGUAGGCGGUUUUUUAAGUCUGAUGUGAAAGCCCACGGCUCAACCGUGGAGGAUCAUUGGGAACUGGAAAACUUGAGUGCAGAAGAGGAAAGUGGAAUUCCAUGUGUAGCGGUGAAAUGCGCAGGGAUAUGGAGGAACACCAGUGGCGAACGCGACUUUCUGGUCUGUAACUGACGCUGAUGUGCGAAAGCGUGGGGAUCAAACAGG
rnacentral:rRNA from 1 species